AAAUUGAAGAGUUUGAUCAUGGCUCAGAUUGAACGCUGGCGGCAGGCCUAACACAUGCAAGUCGAACGGUAACAGGAAGCAGCUUGCUGCUUCGCUGACGAGUGGCGGACGGGUGAGUAAUGUCUGGGAAACUGCCUGAUGGAGGGGGAUAACUACUGGAAACGGUAGCUAAUACCGCAUAACGUCGCAAGACCAAAGAGGGGGACCUUCGGGCCUCUUGCCAUCGGAUGUGCCCAGAUGGGAUUAGCUAGUAGGUGGGGUAACGGCUCACCUAGGCGACGAUCCCUAGCUGGUCUGAGAGGAUGACCAGCCACACUGGAACUGAGACACGGUCCAGACUCCUACGGGAGGCA
rnacentral:rRNA from 1 species